CGGGUGAGUAACGCGUGGGUAACCUGCCCUAGAGUGGGGGACAACAGUUGGAAACGACUGCUAAUACCGCAUAAGCCCACGGUACCGCAUGGUACUGAGGGAAAAGGAUUUAUUCGCUUUAGGAUGGACUCGCGUCCAAUUAGCUAGUUGGUGAGGUAACGGCCCACCAAGGCGACGAUUGGUAGCCGGACUGAGAGGUUGAACGGCCACAUUGGGACUGAGACACGGCCCAGACUCCUACGGGAGGCAGCAGUGGGGGAUAUUGCACAAUGGGGGAAACCCUGAUGCAGCGACGCCGCGUGGAGGAAGAAGGUUUUCGGAUUGUAAACUCCUGUCGUUAGGGACGAUAAUGACGGUACCUAACAAGAAAGCACCGGCUAACUACGUGCCAGCAGCCGCGGUAAAACGUAGGGUGCAAGCGUUGUCCGGAAUUACUGGGUGUAAAGGGAGCGCAGGCGGGAAGACAAGUUGGAAGUGAAAACCAUGGGCUCAACCCAUGAAUUGCUUUCAAAACUGUUUUUCUUGAGUAGUGCAGAGGUAGAUGGAAUUCCCGGUGUAGCGGUGGAAUGCGUAGAUAUCGGGAGGAACACCAGUGGCGAAGGCGGUCUACUGGGCACCAACUGACGCUGAGGCUCGAAAGCAUGGGUAGCAAACAGGAUUAGAUACCCUGGUAGUCCAUGCCGUAAACGAUGAUUACUAGGUGUUGGGGGGAUUGACCCCCUCAGUGCCGCAGUUAACACAAAUAAGUAAUCCACCUGGGGGAGUACGACCGCAAGGUUGAAACUCAAAGGAAUUGACGGGGGCCCGCACAAGCAGUGGAGUAUGUGGUUUAAUUCGAAACACCCCGAA
rnacentral:rRNA from 1 species